CUUGGAUUCUGGAGUCAGUGAGGCCUGGACUGAAUUCUGACUCUGCCACUUAUAACCAUGAGGUCUCAGCUACAAUCUGGUGUGACAGUAACCUGGGGCCUGAGAGCCUGUCACCAAAAGGACAGCACAUAAACAAGCACAGCCAUUCGAAAGCAUCUUCCAGAGUCAGCACCCAGCCUCUGAAGACAGAGGGAGCUCCUGCCACAGAGGGGCCCCACUGCCCUGCCUUUCACACCUGGCCUCCCAGCCGUCCUGCUUCCCACCACGUCCAAGCCGGAUUCUCCAGUCUUCCUGCUGAUCCUCCUGAGCCUCAGAUACAUUUCCAGGAAAGUUCUUUUUGCUCAAGCGAGCUAGAAUAUACUUCUGUUGCUUGUAUUUCAAGGAUCUGGCUGGCGCACUCUACGCCUUCUGCACGCCUUGAUGACUGCGUGGAGGAAGUUUCUUUUAAUAAAUGUUUUCUGUGUUUGUCUCCA